GGCUUCGUGGUGGAUGGUCCGCACCCGCACAUCAUGAUUCUGGGUUGUAUCGAACAACUAAUUGCGGGAGCUAGCGCCUGUUCGACUCAAGCCGGAGCCG